GAUGAAGAACGUAGCGAAAUGCGAUAAGUAAUGGGAAUUGCAGAAUUCAGUGAAUCAUCGAAUCUUUGAACGCACAUUGCGCCCCCUGGUAUUCCGGGGGGCAUGCCUGUUCGAGCGUCAUUUCACCACUCAAGCCUCGCUUGGUAUUGGGCAACGCGGUCCGCCGCGUGCCUCACAUCGACCGGCUGGGUCUUCUGUCCCCUAAGCGUUGUGGAAACUAUUCGCUAAAGGGUGUUCGGGAGGCUACGCCGUAAAACAACCCCAUUUCUAAGGUUGACCUCGGAUCAGGUAGGGAUACCCGCUGAACUUAAGCAUAACAAUAAGCGGAGGC
rnacentral:misc_RNA from 1 species